UUUUGGACAAUGGGCGCAAGCCUGAUCCAGCCAUUCCGCGUGAGUGAAGAAGGCCUUCGGGUUGUAAAGCUCUUUCGCAAGGGAAGAAAGAUUACUCUCUAAUAUAGAGUGAUUAUGACGGUACCUUGAUAAGAAGCACCGGCUAACUACGUGCCAGCAGCCGCGGUAAUACGUAGGGUGCGAGCGUUAAUCGGAAUUACUGGGCGUAAAGCGUGCGCAGGCGGUUUUGUAAGUCAGAUGUGAAAUCCCCGAGCUCAACUUGGGAACUGCGUUUGAAACUACAAGACUAGAAUAGGUCAGAGGGGGGUAGAAUUCCACGUGUAGCAGUGAAAUGCGUAGAGAUGUGGAGGAAUAUCAAUGGCGAAGGCAGCCCCCUGGGAUCAUAUUGACGCUCAUGCACGAGG
rnacentral:rRNA from 1 species